rnacentral:rRNA from 1 species
UGAGUACGAAAUGCUACGGCAUUGAAGCAGUCUAUGUCAUACUUCCAAGAAAAGCUUGCACUGUCAUAAACAAAUAAUGCCUGUACCAUAACCGACACAGGUGGGUAGGUAGAGUAUACUAAGGGGCGCGAGAUAACUCUCUCUAAGGAACUCGGCAAAAUGACUCCGUAACUUCGGGAGAAGGAGUGCCUUAUUUCUAAGGUUGCAAUAACAAGAUCCAAGCAACUGUUUAUCAAAAACACAGGUCUCCGCUAAGUCGUAAGACGAUGUAUGGGGGCUGACGCCUGCCCAGUGCCAGAAGGUUAAAGAAGUUGGUUAGCAUCCGCGAAGCUGAUAACUGAAGCCCUGGUGAACGGCGGCCGUAACUAUAACGGUCCUAAGGUAGCGAAAUUCCUUGUCGGGUAAGUUCCGACCCGCACGAAAGGCGUAAUGAUUUGGAUACUGUCUCGGAGAGGGGCUCGGUGAAAUAGACUUGUCUGUGAAGAUGCGGACUACCUGCACCUGGACAGAAAGACCCUAUGAAGCUUUACUGUAACUUGAAAUUGAAAUUGGACUUUAUUUGCGCAGUAUAGGUGGUAGGCGUUGAAGAUAUUCUUGCGGGAAGAUUGGAGCCAUCAGUGAGAUACCACUCUUGUAAUGUUAGAUUUCUAACUUUGUAUCAUUAUCUGGUCAAAGAACAGUUUCAGGCGGGCAGUUUGACUGGGGCGGUCGCCUCCCAAACGGUAACGGAGGCGCACAAAGGUUUCCUCUGAACGGGUAGAAAUCGUAUCUAGAGUGUAAAGGCAUAAGGAAGCUUGACUGUGAGACCUACAAGUCGAGCAGGGACGAAAGUCGGUCUUAGUGAUCUGACGGUGCUGAGUGGAAAGGCCGUCACUCAACGGAUAAAAGUUACUCUAAGGAUAACAGGCUGAUCUCCCCCAAGAGUUCACAUCGACGGGGAGGUUUGGCACCUCGAUGUCGGCUCAUCGCAUCCUGGGGCGGUAGUACGUCCCAAGGGUUGGGCUGUUCGCCCAUGAAAGCGGUACGCGAGCUGGGUUCAGAACGUCGUGAGACAGUUCGGUCCAUAUCCGGUGUAGGCGUUAGAAUAUUGAGAGGAGCCUUCUUUAGUACGAGAGGACCGAGAAGGACAUACCUCUGGUGUACCAGUUAUCGUGCCAACGGUAAACGCUGGGUAGCUAUGUAUGGAGAGGAUAACCGCUGAAAGCAUCUAAGUGGGAAGCCCACCUCAAGAUAAGUA